AUCGAAAUAACUAGUGUAUGACGUUUCAGUAACAGCUCUGUUACUGAAAUGUCACACACUCUUUAUUUGGAUUC